GGCCCUAUAAUUUCAAAUGGUAGAGCACUCACCUGAGAAGUGAAAAGCCCUAGGUUCAAAUCCUAGUACCA
rnacentral:tRNA from 1 species